UUAAUUAUAUGCAUCCAAAAAUUAUACAAAAAUUCUCAAAAAUACUUGAUAAGUCAGAAAUCAAUCCACAAAUUUUCAUAAAUUCUCAGUAAGGUUUGCUAACCCGUUGAUCUACUUUAAUCUCUCCAAAAUCCUGAAAAACUGCUUAGCAGAUUCAAACUUGCUCUCUCUGUAAAAUUUAUUUCAAAACCUAUUUUUGAAUUUUGGAUUCAGCCAAAGUCUUCUACUAACUUUCUUCUAACACUCUGAGGAGCAGAACACCCUAUAUCACUCUCUAACCCCUUCUUCUCUUCCUCCAAAAAUCCAAUCAGCUGCUAACUACACUAUCAACUGCUACUAACCAACACUGUCAAUACAUGUUCAUCACUCCAUCAAACCUAAACCAGAGAUUUCUAACCCAAAUCACUUUAGCACAUUUACUCUCCAGAUCAUCCCGGACCAAGAGUAUUUGUAGCACAGGUGUCUUGUUGCACGCAAUCCACCAUGAAUCCCCUCCGAAGAUACUUGGCAAGCAAACCUCCUUGACUUAGGCUCCAAGUCUGUUUUCGAAUUUCUUUCACUUAC
rnacentral:lncRNA from 1 species